CAGUAGCCACGGGAAUACGAAGGGGGCUAGCGUUGCUCGGAAUGACUGGGCGUAAAGGGCGCGUAGGCGGCUUGUACAGUCAGAUGUGAAAUUCCUGGGCUUAACCUGGGGGCUGCAUUUGAUACGUGCGGGCUAGAAUGUGAAAGAGGGUUGUGGAAUUCCCAGUGUAGAGGUGAAAUUCGUAGAUAUUCGGAAGAACACCAGUGGCGAAGGCGACUCACUGGCCCAUUACUGACGCUGAGGCGCGAAAGCGUGGGGAGCAAACAGGAUUAGAUACCCGGGUAGUCCCUGUCUCUUAUAC
rnacentral:rRNA from 1 species